AAUCCAUAGGUUAAUGAGGCGAACCGGGGGAACUGAAACAUCUAAGUACCCCGAGGAAAAGAAAUCAACCGAGAUUCCCCCAGUAGCGGCGAGCGAACGGGGAGGAGCCCAGAGCCUGAAUCAGCAUGUGUGUUAGUGGAAGCGUCUGGAAAGGCGCGCGAUACAGGGUGACAGCCCCGUACACAAAAGCGCAUGUGCUGUGAGCUCGAUGAGUAGGGCGGGACACGUGGUAUCCUGUCUGAAUAUGGGGGGACCAUCCUCCAAGGCUAAAUACUCCUGACUGACCGAUAGUGAACCAGUACCGUGAGGGAAAGGCGAAAAGAACCCCGGCGAGGGGAGUGAAAAAGAACCUGAAACCGUGUACGUACAAGCAGUGGGAGCACAGGUUUACCUGUGUGACUGCGUACCUUUUGUAUAAUGGGUCAGCGACUUAUAUUCUGUAGCAAGGUUAACCGAAUAGGGGAGCCGGAGGGAAACCGAGUCUUAAUUGGGCGUUAAGUUGCAGGGUAUAGACCCGAAACCCGGUGAUCUAGCCAUGGGCAGGUUGAAGGUUGGGUAACACUAACUGGAGGACCGAACCGACUAAUGUUGAAAAAUUAGCGGAUGACCUGUGGCUGGGGGUGAAAGGCCAAUCAAACCGGGAGAUAGCUGGUUCUCCCCGAAAGCUAUUUAGGUAGCGCCUCGUGAAUUCAUCUCCGGGGGUAGAGCACUGUUUCGGCUAGGGGGCCAUCCCGGCUUACCAACCCGAUGCAAACUGCGAAUACCGGAGAAUGUUAUCACGGGAGACACACGGCGGGUGCUAACGUCCGUCGUGAAGAGGGAAACAACCCAGACCGCCAGCUAAGGUCCCAAAGUCAUGGUUAAGUGGGAAACGAUGUGGGAAGGCCCAGACAGCCAGGAUGUUGGCUUAGAAGCAGCCAUCAUUUAAAGAAAGCGUAAUAGCUCACUGGUCGAGUCGGCCUGCGCGGAAGAUGUAACGGGGCUAAACCAUGCACCGAAGCUGCGGCAGCGAACGUAUCACUUAAAGCGAUUCAGCGGGUUACGAUUGACGGAGCGAAGCGACGUCAAAGCGUAUACAAAGUCGAGUCGGUUUAAGGAUACGUUCGUUGGGUAGGGGAGCGUUCUGUAAGCCUGUGA
rnacentral:rRNA from 1 species